UACGUAGGGUGCGAGCGUUAAUCGGAAUUACUGGGCGUAAAGCGUGCGCAGGCGGUUUUGUAAGCCAGGUGUGAAAUCCCCGGGCUCAACCUGGGAAUGGCAUUUGGGACUGCAAGGCUGGAGUGCGGCAGAGGAGACUGGAAUUCCUGGUGUAGCAGUGAAAUGCGUAGAUAUCAGGAGGAAUACCGAUGGCGAAGGCAGGUCUCUGGGCUGACACUGACGCUCAUGCACGAAAGCGUGGGGAGCAA
rnacentral:rRNA from 1 species